CAAGUCGAACGGACUUAUGAGUUUCGAUUCAUAAGUUAGUGGCAGACGGGUGAGUAACGCGUGGGAAUGUACCAAUUGGUUCGGAAUAACUACGGGAAACUGUAGCUAAUACUGGAUAAGCCCGAGAGGGGAAAGAUUUAUCGCCGAUUGAGCAGCCCGCGUUAGAUUAGGUAGUUGGUGGGGUAAAGGCCUACCAAGCCUGCGAUCUAUAGCUGGUCUGAGAGGAUGAUCAGCCACACUGGGACUGAGACACGGCCCAGACUCCUACGGGAGGCAGCAGUGGGGAAUAUUGGACAAUGGGCGAAAGCCUGAUCCAGCAAUGCCGCGUGAGUGAUGAAGGCCCUAGGGUUGUAAAGCUCUUUUACCCGGGAUGAUAAUGACAGUACCGGGAGAAUAAGCUCCGGCUAACUUCGUGCCAGCAGCCGCGGUAAUACGAGGGGAGCUAGCGUUGUUCGGAAUUACUGGGCGUAAAGCGCGCGUAGGCGGUUUUUUAAGUCAGAGGUGAAAGCCCGGGGCUCAACCCCGGAAUUGCCUUUGAAACUGGAAAACUAGAAUCUUGGAGAGGUCAGUGGAAUUCCGAGUGUAGAGGUGAAAUUCGUAGAU
rnacentral:rRNA from 1 species